rnacentral:tRNA from 1 species
AAUGAAGUGCCUGAUUAAAGGAUUAUCUUGAUAGGGUAAAUAAUGUGUGACUCACCUUCAUUA